GGCAGACGGCUCAGUAACGCGUAGUCAACCUACCCUAUGGACGGGGAUAACCUCGGGAAACUGAGAAUAAUACCCGAUAGAACAUUAUGCCUGGAAUGGUUUAUGUUUCAAAUAAUUUAUUGCCGUAGGAUGGGACUGCGGCCUAUCAGUUUGUUGGUGAGGUAAUGGCCCACCAAGACUAUUACAGGUACGGGCUCUGAGAGGAGUAGCCCGGAGAUGGGUACUGAGACACGGACCCAGGCCCUAUGGGGCGCAGCAGGCGAGAAAACUUUGCAAUGUGCGAAAGCACGACAAGGUUAAUCCGAGUGGUUUCUGCUAAAGGAACCUUUUGUCAGUCCUAGAAACACUGAUGAAUAAGGGGUGGGCAAGUUCUGGUGUCAGCCGCCGCGGUAAAACCAGCACCUCAAGUGGUCAGGAUGAUUAUUGGGCCUAAAGCAUCCGUAGCCGGCUCUGUAAGUUUUCGGUUAAAUCUGUACGCUCAACGUACAGGCUGCCGGGAAUACUGCAGAGCUAGGGAGUGGGAGAGGUAGACGGUACUCGGUAGGAAGGGGUAAAAUCCUUUGAUCUAUUGAUGACCACCUGUGGCGAAGGCGGUCUACCAGAACACGUCCGACGGUGAGGGAUGAAAGCUGGGGGAGCAAACCGGAUUAGAUACCCGGGUAGUCCCAGCUGUAAACUAUGCAAACUCAGUGAUGCAUUGGCUUGUGGCCAAUGCAGUGCUGCAGGGAAGCCGUUAAGUUUGCCGCCUGGGAAGUACGUACGCAAGUAUGAAACUUAAAGGAAUUGGCGGG
rnacentral:rRNA from 1 species